CAUGGAGUAUUCAAAAUGUUUUAUUGUUAAUGUGACAUUGUUGUUAGUUUUUUUCAUCAUGACUUCAGGUUAUUAAUGAUGUUCUUUUCACUCUCUUUAGUUUCUCAAUUCAAAUGAGUCUUAUUCUUUUACACUUCAGAUUGAAAUCAAGUCUUUCAGUUAGUUUUUGUAUGGAAUUAGGAUUACUGUUUUAUUUGAAAAAUUAAGUUGUCAUUGUUCUUAAUUAGAUCUUUGUGAUGCAGAUUUGUGCAUGAUGAAGACAGAAGCAAGAGGAAUCAUUUAUCCAUUACGACACCAAGCACCACCACCACACCACCAUGGCCCACCACACCAAGCACCACCACCACAUCACCAUGGCCCAUCACACCACCACCCACAUCACCACCAUGCAUCACCACCACACCACCACUCACAUCACCAUAAAGCACCAGCACCACACCACCACUCACAUCACCACCAAGCACCACCACCACAUCAUGCAUCCUCAAACUGAGUCAUCUUCUUUAGAUGAAAUUGUUAUCAACCUCCUUUUCACAUGUAUU
rnacentral:lncRNA from 1 species